rnacentral:rRNA from 1 species
AGUUUGAUCCUGGCUCAGGACGAACGCUGGCGGCAUGCCUAACACAUGCAAGUCGAACGAGAAAGUCACUUCGGUGGCGAUUAAAGUGGCGCACGGGUGAGUAACGCGUAGACAAUCUGCCCUUCAGUCUGGGACAACUUUUCGAAAGGAGAGCUAAUACCGGAUAACAAUGCAUUACAUAAGUAAAGUAUUUGAAAGCUUUAUGUGCUGAAGGAGGGGUCUGCGUCCCAUUAGCUAGUUGGUAAGGUAAAGGCUUACCAAGGCAACGAUGGGUAGCGGGUUUGAGAGGACGAUCCGCCACACUGGAACUGAGACACGGUCCAGACUCCUACGGGAGGCAGCAGUGGGGAAUAUUGCACAAUGGAGGAAACUCUGAUGCAGCAAUGUCGCGUGAGUGAAGAAGGCCCUUGGGUCGUAAAGCUCUUUUAUGGGGGAAGAUGAUGACGGUACCCCAAGAAUAAGCACCGGCUAACUAUGUGCCAGCAGCCGCGGUAAUACAUAGGGUGCGAGCGUUGUUCGGAAUUACUGGGCGUAAAGGGCGCGCAGGCGGAAUAGUAAGUCGGAGGUGAAAGCCCGGGGCUCAACCCCGGAGGGUCUUUCGAAACUGCUAAUCUAGAGAGGGUCAGGGGCCGGCAGAAUUCCUGGUGUAGAGGUGAAAUUCGUAGAUAUCAGGAGGAAUACCGGUGGCGAAGGCGGCCGGCUGGGGCCACUCUGACGCUGAGGCGCGAAAGCGUGGGGAGCAAACAGGAUUAGAUACCCUGGUAGUCCACGCCGUAAACGAUGAGCACUGGACGUCCGGAGGGUUCGACCCUUCUGAGUGUCUCAGCUAACGCAUUAAGUGCUCCGCCUGGGGAGUACGGUCGCAAGACUAAAACUCAAAGGAAUUGACGGGGGCCCGCACAAGCGGUGGAGCAUGUGGUUUAAUUCGAUGCAACGCGAAGAACCUUACCUACUCUUGACAUCCUUGGAAAGCCAGAGCUUCUGCGAGCUUGCUCAAGGACACUAUCACAGGUGAUGCAUGGCUGUCGUCAGCUCGUGUCGUGAGAUGUUCGGUUAAGUCCGAUAACGAGCGCAACCCCUAUCCUUAGUUGCCAGCACGUAAUGGUGGGGACUCUAAGAAAACUGCCCGGGAUAACCGGAAGGAAGGUGGGGUCGACGUCAAGUCAGUAUGUCCCUUACGUCCAGGGCUACACACGUAAUACAAUGGGAAGUACAGAGGGUAGCAAAACUGCGAAGUGGAGCCAAUCCCAAAAAACUUUCCCAAGUUCAGAUUGCAGUCUGCAACUCGACUGCAUGAAGCAGGAAUCGCUAGUAAUCGCGCAUCAGCAUGGCGCGGUGAAUACGUUCCCGGGUCUUGUACACACCGCCCGUCACGCCAUGGAAGCCGGUAGCACCCAACGUCAGUGUCCUAACCUUCGGGAAGGAGCCGCUUAAGGUGAGAUUGGUAACUGGGGCGAAGUCGUAACAAGGUAGCC